AUAUAUAUAGUGACUGCCUCUAAUCUAUAAAUAUUGAAGGAUGUUAAUCUUUUUGGUCACAUAUUUAUAUUGUUGCUUUUUUUAUUUGAUAUUAGAGUAUAUGAUCUAUGUAAUCUCUACUUUUUAAAUGUACAGCUUUCAAGCAAAUGUAUGAUUUUUUCAUAAAUGGACAUAAGAUUGAUUAUAUAUAUAUGUACGUGUGUGUGCAGAGAUUAUAUAUAUACAUACAUGCAUAUAUUCGUGUAUACAUUUGCAUAUUAUAAUUUAUCUACUGUUAUUCACUUUCUCACCUUCCUUGCCUGAUUUUGACCUUUAAUCUUGAAAUAAUUUUAUUAACUAUAUACUAUAGUUUGCUUUUUCUCACCUCUCCUUACAUUUUCAAUAUAAUUUCUUUCCAAAUAUUUAGGAUGUAUAUUGUGUUAUAAUUGCUAUAUCAACAUGAAUUGUGCCUAUUAUGAUUGUAAAAGUCCCUCUUUACACUGCUUUUUACUUUUGAGCUUAUAUCUAAGAUUUUCUGAUGAAAUAUUGACAUUUUUGCCUUUCUUAAUUUUGCAUUUGCCUGGUAUCUCUUGGCUUUUCCCUUUAUUUUCAACCGUUCUUUAUCACUUGGUCUGAAGCAAGUUUCUUGUAACAGCACAUUGCUCGAUUUUGUUUUUUUAACCUAAUUUGACAGCUUUUGUCUUUUUAUAGAAUAUUCAGUAAGAGGAUUCAGUUUUCAGAAUGAACUAGAGCACAGAAGGGGGACUGCCUCUGCAUAUUUAAGUAGAUUGUAUUCCAAAGAUAUGAACAUUGUUGAGGCAGGAGAACUAACUAGCUUCUUACAUAGAAAGGUGUUUCUAUAGGGAAUGCUCCACAGAAUUCCAAUUAAUUGUUUCACAGAUUAAGAGAGUCACCAGGGUUCCCUUGUAACAUUUCUCAUCAAAGAGUGUUCUAUAGGGAAGAGAUAAAACCUAAACAGUCCCGGAAGCUGAGACAAGAAACUGAAAAAAAAAGGAAAGUGAGCAACAAGAUAAUGUAAGUCACAACUGAGCCAAUUAAGGAGCAGGAGAUGCAGCAGCAUGUCCCAAACAAAACUGAUUGGAGGUCAAGUGUGGACAACCAGAGCAAGUUCUUGCACAGCUAAUGUAUCCCCAGGUGUGAACUGAGUAACAUGAAGAAAGGCAUCCUCCUGCCACCUCCUGAAUCAGUAGAAAAAGACAAAAGCUUUUGAUGGGAUUAUGCUGGAGUCCAUGUCAUGGAACCAAACUGGAAAUUUUCUGGCAUGAUUUUAGGCGUUUUGCAUGAACUCUAAUUCAUUGAAAUGUAACAACCUUAUAAGGUCCCUGCAGGACCAUGUCACCCAAAAUAAUGCAUCAGAUAUAAGGACUUGUCUUUUACUCAUUUACUUCUUGGACCUACUUAGAAAACUGUGGCAGCACUGUUUUGUUAUUAUUGUCUUAAGUGCAUGAUCCAACUUGGAAAGGUUCCAGGUGUGUCUUAGUUUUGAAGCUUCACAGCAGCUGAGUAGUAGUGUGUGGUGAGCAUAACAAAUACCUAAAACUUUCAGGAAGGUGAAUCCUUCUCUCUGACCGUGGGAACUAUGGUCUGAAGAUGAAUGCCAAUCGCAAGAUAAUUCAAAUAUUGAAAUUAUGAAACAAUGACUUCCAAAUCAGCUAUGAUAAUGUGAUCUACAAGCUAAGGUCUAAUAUCCUCAAAACAAAUGGAAAGACAGAACAUCUUAGCAGGGAAAUAAAAGAUUCAACUGGCUCAUGGUUUGUACCGGGGGAACCAAGCCCAUGGUUGGGAUCCAGGGGUCCCUCCAGUCUCCUGUUCCAUGGUCGCACACACCUUGAGGGCACCCACACGGUUUGAUCGUCUCCUUAUAUUGCUGCUGGCAGACUCGUGACGGGGUUUCUCAUUCAUCUGGGUGUACAAGAAGCAUGGUGCCAGCAUCUGCUCAGCUUCUGAUGAGGGCUCUGGGAAGCUUUUACUCAUGGAGGAAGGCAAGGGGAACCAGCAUGUCACAUGAUGAGAAAGGAAGCAUGAGAGAGAGGUGCCAGACUCUUCAACAACCAGAAGAGAAAGUCAGAGAGAAUCAAAGCAUGUGAAGAGAGACCUCACGCAAGGAGGUCUAGGAGCCUAGAGUGAUCUUCAGCCAACAGUCAAAAAGAUAACUGGGACAACCACAAGGAACUGACUUCUAUAAGAGAAAUGAGCCUGGAAAAGGACUCCAAGCUUCAGAUGAAAAUGUAGUUGGCUGACACUUUGAUUUUAGUCUUGUGAAACCCUAAGCAGAGAAUCCAAGUAAGUCCCCCUGAACUUCUCACCUAAAGAACAAUGAGUUAAUAAAUAAGGGGUAUGAUAAGUCAUGAAAUAUGUGGUAAUUUAUUACAAAACAAUAUAUAAUGAUACAGAUACCUAUCUGGUAGCCAGAUAUUAUCCUAAGUAUUUUCCACAAGACAUUUAAUUUGAUUUAAUUAACACGCAACUCCAUAAGAGACAGAUCCUUUUAACUAUUUUGCAGGUGGUAAACUGAGGCUCAAGUAAUUUAUGUGAUUUGUCUAAGGUCCCAUAGGCUAUAAGUGUCAGAGCCCAGAUUGAGAAGUGUUUGGCUGUUCAUGCAAGUGCAAGCAGCUUUCAUUAAACUAUUCGCAGAAGUCUGUCAGAAUAGCUAGCAAGGAUACCAACUAUCUAGGGAAAGUCACACCAAAGGAGUGACCCAAAGAAACACAUUUUAACCUGAACUGCCUGGUAAUACACUGAAGGCAAAUCAGCCCCAAAGACUAAAAUUGUUAAUUUUCUGUGAUUCCUCGCUGUUUUAUUUAAUAUAAUAUGACCUUAACCUAGUCUUGAUAUUUGAUUUCUGAACAAUGAGUCAAGAGAGUUGCCUUCUCUAUGUAGUAGUACUUUACUGUUGUCAAAGACUUGUCCUUUGGUGCUUCAUAUUUUGCUUUACCUACAUGGAACAUUGCUAAUUUAGGUGAUAGCCUAACUAUUUAUAGUUAAAUACACCCACCAAGUUCCCUUUACCCUUCAAAUUAACUAAAAAGAAACAACUUCCUACUUCUUACACCACAUAAAAUUCAUAUUUUGCUUUAAAUGUAAUUUUUCAGCAAAGAGCCUAGUGGAGUUCACUUAAAACUAACCAAAUCAGCUGUUAAAAUUGUCCAUUUGAUCACAUGGGUUAUAGGCAUAGUUAUUUGACUGAGUUAUGACAAUGCUCAGAAACAGAAAAGACAGUCAAAGGUUAUCAUGUAAGUUCAAUAAAAAUUCAACAGUUGUUUUUAAAGAUUUUCAUAUGAUAAUAUUGUUUCACUUUCUAUUACCCAUAUUUGAUUUCAUUUACAAAUAAAAUACUACCCACUCUAUGAAUCAUGCUUUUAUCUCAAAUAUAUCUAGAGUGAAUCUCUAUGAUUUUUAGAAUACAGAAAUAUACAUUUUAAAAAGAUUUUAACAUUUAUUGUAAAUAAUUUAAGACAACUUUUAGAUAUAUCACGUGAGUGUUUAACUCAAUUUUCAUGACCCAGCUGGCCCAAAUUAGUCUUUUUUAUAAAUUGUUUUUUGAGUUGAAAUUAUUCUUUCACACCUAAAGAACUCUAUCUGAUGCUCUAGAGAGAAAUAUUCAAUUGAACUUCACAAUGUAGAACAUUUCCUGCAUUCUCCAUUGUAGACUGUGAUGAAUAAAUCAAUAUGUGCUUACUAAAAACAAAUGAUACAAUUUAAGGAAAUAUAUUAUUUUGAGUCCUGAUUCAAAGAAAAUAACCAAAUAUUUAAAAUUUAUUUAAAAUUUGUACUGUUUAUUUAUAUAAUUAUAACAUCUUCAAAAUCAAUAAUGAUUUUCUUCAUUUAGUAUUUAAACAUAACUAUUUUCUCAUAGUACUAGAGUCGCCAUAAGCAUCACUCUAUGGCUAUAUAAUUUCUGACAUGUGCUUUUAUUGGAAUUCAUUAAUAAUUUCAUUAUUUUUAGGUAUUUAGAUCAUGGCCCACUUUCCCCUACAACCACGAUACCUGUUUAAAUUGACAAAUCAUAGUUGUAUGGAUUUACGGGGCAAAAUGUGAUGUUUUGAUAUACGUAUAUGAUACAGUUUGAUUAAAUCAAGCUGCUUUAACAUAUCCAUCAUCCUGCUUACCUAUCAUUUUUAAUAAUGAGAUAUUUGAAAUGUAUUCUCUUAGUUAUUUUCAAAUACAUAAUACAUUAUUAUUGACUGUAGUCAUCCUGGUGUGCAAUGAAUCUCAAGAUGAAUAUUUCCAUGAACAUUAAAAAAAAUUCUUCCAUUUUGAAAUGUCACUUUUCAUUAAUUGUGACUCUGAUACUUCUCCGCUUGACAUCUCCACUUAUGCAAUAAAAAAAUUCAUUGUACACUUUAUCUUCUAGGGACUUGACACGUGCAAGCCCUUCACUUUCAUUUUUUUCUAAGCCAGCUUUCUCCAUCCCCUCAUAUCAAUGCCUCAGCAUCCAGUGAUUAAAUCCCAGCAUUUCUAUCACAGUUUAUCUCCAUCACAAUAUUUCCUGUUUUGCAGUAUAACUGGUGAUUAACUUUAAUUACAAUCAUGACUACUCUAUAGCAGAGGCCAAAAUGAUGAUUACACAUCAUGUUUCAUAAUAUUUUUCAGUUAGAUGAAGCUUCAGUGCAGCUACCCUGCUAAAAUAACUAAUUUGCAUAUCAUUAUAUAGAGUUCAAAUGAACUUAUUUUAUCCACUCCCACCCAUUAGUCAUCUUAUUGCAGUUUAGAAAAUAUAUUGACUCUGGACCAUGAGUCUGUAGGUGAAGGUAACAGUUAUAAUGAUGAAAAAAAAUUUUCUCAGGUCAUUCUGUAUUUUUCCUGAUUUAAUUGAUUAUAUCACUCAUAGGCCAUCAAGGCACCACUAGAAACUUUUCUAUUAAACAUAGUACUGGAAGUUCCAGCCAGGGCAAUCAGUCAAGAGAAAGAAAUAAAGGGUAUUCAAAUAGG
rnacentral:lncRNA from 1 species